rfam:Gossypium raimondii Chr08_contig_1303, whole genome shotgun sequence.
UGUUAAAAAUUUCAUCAAUUUCUACCGUUAAAAACUAGCAUGACUAACAAAAUAACAAAAAAGUUACACAUCGCGUGCUCCGUGUAUCUAAUUUUGACAUAUAAUGACCAAUUUUCAAAAGUAAAAAUGGAUAGAAUUUUUAACA